AAUACGUUCCCGGCCUUGUACACACCGCCCGUCACGUCACGAAAGUCGGUAACACCCGAAGCCGGUGGCCCAACCUUAGGGAGGGAGCCGUCGAAGGUGGGACUGGCGAUUGGGACG
rnacentral:rRNA from 1 species